rnacentral:tRNA from 1 species
UCUGUGGGAGCUCAAAGGUAGAGCCCCAGCCGGUAAUUGGUACGUCGCGGGUUCGAUUUCCGUUCGCGGAG